AAACAGUUGAUAUUUUGUCACUGCUGAUCAAACAACGUGUGUUUUUUAAACGUAUUUUAAAGAUUUCGUGUUUUUUAAUAAAUGAAAAAUAUAUAUAAUUUCGUUAUUUUGUGCAAUUUAUAAUUAAGAGAAAAGAGGAUAAAUAAAUAAAAAUAAAAUAAAAAAUUGUUUCACAAAAGUGGAUACAAAAAGAAAAGUGAUUAAAAUUUGUACACGCAAAUUGGCGGAAGAAAAAAAUUAACAAAUAUAUUUAAAAAAAAGUCUAAAAAUUUAUUUCAAAUAAAGUGUCUGCGUUGCAACAUAAAAAAGUGUUCAACAGUAAAAAUAUAUUUUGUGAAUUAAAACACAGAAAAAAAAUCUAAAAAUAAAUUCAAUAAAAAGCAGUUGUUUCCAAUGUAGCCCUUUGGGUUUUUCUUAACACGAGCGUGAGUGCGAUAAGUUUCUAUGAACAGAGUUCGUGUUAAUUGUGAAAUUUCAUUUAAUUUAUAAUUUAUUAAAUGCUAUUUACAUUUUAUAUAAUUUCGUUCUACGUUCAUCUCGAGAAAGCAAUAUUGCCAUAAUUUGUAUUAAAAAAGAACAACAAAAAGUAAAUACUCUCCAAUUCAUUUUUUAAUUUUGUUGUGAGUCAGUCACGAGAUAUUGGAAUUUUUGGUAUUUCAAUGGGGUGACUUGUGAAAUUUAAUUUAACUCCUGAACCCGGGACUAAAAGGGAAUUUUAUACAAUAAAUCCGUUCCUGACAAAAGACAAACUUUUUUCUACACUUAAACACAAUAUUUUUGGCCUUGAAAACACCAAAAGAAAAACACCAUUUAAGUAAUUUUCCUACAUAACCCUAUAAGCAACUAAAUACAGGAAUUUUUACUACUCUAAAAGCUUUUCUACAACUAAACCCUCCAGAAACAAAGUACUUAUUAAUUUAUUGCAAAACUACACAAAACUCUCCCCCACCCCCUUAAUAAAUACACCACUAAAAGAAAAAGAGAACUAAAAAGGGAAGUUGAAAAAGUAAAACAUCAAUUCAAAAUUCCCUUAUAAAGACUUUCUCCGAUGACCAACAAGGUCGUUUUAAAAGAGAAAGUAGACACCCACUACUACUGCUGCUCGGGUCUGUACGUUAUAGUUGAGGACAAUACAAACGCUAAAAUCCUGUCUGCUCAGGGACACUCAUAUGCUGCCAGAGCUGAUUUGAACUACUAUUCGAAAUAACGUUAACAACAAAAAAAACAA
rnacentral:lncRNA from 1 species